ACUCCUACGGGAGGCAGUAGUGGGGAAUAUUGGACAAUGGGCGAAAGCCUGAUCCAGCCAUGCCGCGUGUGUGAAGAAGGUCUUCGGAUUGUAAAGCACUUUAAGUUGGGAGGAAGGGCAGUUACCUAAUACGUAAUUGUUUUGACGUUACCGACAGAAUAAGCACCGGCUAACUCUGUGCCAGCAGCCGCGGUAAUACAGAGGGGUGCAAGCGUUAAUCGGAAUUACUGGGGCGUAAAGCGCGCGUAGGUGGUUUGUUAAGUUGGAUGUGAAAUCCCCGGGGCUCAACCUGGGGAACUGCAUUCAAAACUGACUGACUAGAGUAUGGUAGAGGGUGGUGGAAUUUCCUGUGUAGCGGUGAAAUGCGUAGAUAUAGGAAGGAACACCAGUGGCGAAGGCGACCACCUGGACUAAUACUGACACUGAGGUGCGAAAGCGUGGGGAG
rnacentral:rRNA from 1 species